rnacentral:rRNA from 1 species
AUGAACGCUAGCUACAGGCUUAACACAUGCAAGUCGAGGGGCAGCAUGGUCUUAGCUUGCUAAGGCUGAUGGCGACCGGCGCACGGGUGAGUAACACGUAUCCAACCUGCCGUCUACUCUUGGCCAGCCUUCUGAAAGGAAGAUUAAUCCAGGAUGGGAUCAUGAGUUCACAUGUCCGCAUGAUUAAAGGUAUUUUCCGGUAGACGAUGGGGAUGCGUUCCAUUAGAUAGUAGGUGGGGUAACGGCCCACCUAGUCAACGAUGGAUAGGGGUUCUGAGAGGAAGGUCCCCCACAUUGGAACUGAGACACGGUCCAAACUCCUACGGGAGGCAGCAGUGAGGAAUAUUGGUCAAUGGGCGAUGGCCUGAACCAGCCAAGUAGCGUGAAGGAUGACUGCCCUAUGGGUUGUAAACUUCUUUUAUAAAGGAAUAAAGUCGGGUAUGCAUACCCGUUUGCAUGUACUUUAUGAAUAAGGAUCGGCUAACUCCGUGCCAGCAGCCGCGGUAAUACGGAGGAUCCGAGCGUUAUCCGGAUUUAUUGGGUUUAAAGGGAGCGUAGAUGGAUGUUUAAGUCAGUUGUGAAAGUUUGCGGCUCAACCGUAAAAUUGCAGUUGAUACUGGAUGUCUUGAGUGCAGUUGAGGCAGGCGGAAUUCGUGGUGUAGCGGUGAAAUGCUUAGAUAUCACGAAGAACUCCGAUUGCGAAGGCAGCCUGCUAAGCUGCAACUGACAUUGAGGCUCGAAAGUGUGGGUAUCAAACAGGAUUAGAUACCCUGGUAGUCCACACGGUAAACGAUGAAUACUCGCUGUUUGCGAUAUACGGCAAGCGGCCAAGCGAAAGCGUUAAGUAUUCCACCUGGGGAGUACGCCGGCAACGGUGAAACUCAAAGGAAUUGACGGGGGCCCGCACAAGCGGUGGAGUAUGUGGUUUAAUUCGAAGCAACGCGAAGAACCUUACCAGGCCUUGACAUCCCUUGCAGAGGUAUAGAGAUAUAUCCGAGGUUAUCAAGGAGACAGGUGGUGCAUGGUUGUCGUCAGCUCGUGUCGUGAGAUGUUGGGUUAAGUCCCGCAACGAGCGCAACCCUUAUCCUCAGUAGCCAGCAGGUAAAGCUGGGCACUCUGUGGAGACUGCCAGGGAUAACCUGGAGGAAGGUGGGGAUGACGUCAAAUCAGCACGGCCCUUACGUCCGGGGCUACACACGUGUUACAAUGGGGGGUACAGAGGGCCGCUACCACGCGAGUGGAUGCCAAUCCCUAAAACCCCUCUCAGUUCGGACUGGAGUCUGCAACCCGACUCCACGAAGCUGGAUUCGCUAGUAAUCGCGCAUCAGCCACGGCGCGGUGAAUACGUUCCCGGGCCUUGUACACACCGCCCGUCAAGCCAUGGGAGCCGGGGGUACCUGAAGUGCGUAACCGCGAGGAUCGCCCUAGGGUAAAACUGGUGACUGGGGCU